UUCUUGGGGAGCACUCAGGACAGUGCAGCCCUCAGGCUGGACAGCUGCCUUGCUCCUAGGUCUGCCCCAUGCCCAGGCUGGGCCGUCUGGCACUGGGUCCGUGGGCUCUGGCCUUAGGGCCAUCUGUCUUGGUUGGUCCUGGUGCGACAGCUGCCCUGUCACUCCUUGGGGUGUGGCCUCCAUUUUCUGCUCCCUUUGCCCUGCAGAGGGGCCCAGCAGCUCUCCUCCCUGCAGGCUGAACUCCACUGAGUACGGGGAGCUCUGCGAGAAGCUCCGGGCACCAAUCCGCAGGGCAGCCCACGUGGUCAUCCACCAGAGCCUGGGCGACCUGUUCCUGGAGACAUUUGCCUCCCUGGUAGAGGUCAACCCGGCCUACUCAGUGCCCAGCAGCCAGGAGCUGGAGGCCUGCAUAGGCUGCAUGCAGACACGUGCCAGCGUGAAGCUGGUGAAGACCUGCCAGGAGGCAGCCACAGGCGAGUGCCAGCAGUGUUACUGCCGUCCCAUGUGGUGCCUCACCUGCAUGGGCAAGUGGUUUGCCAGCCGCCAGGACCCCCUGCGCCCUGACACCUGGCUGGCCAGCCGCGUGCCCUGCCCCACCUGCCGCGCACGCUUCUGCAUCCUGGAUGUGUGCACCGUGCGCUGAGUGGGCUGGGGCCCUGAGGUGACUCUGUGUCUCCCCCCAAAGCCACGGGGCAGGGAAGGGGGUGGCUGGGCCUCCUGGCUGGCAAAGGGCUCUAUUUAAAGCACAUGAUCUAGAGCAACUCACCUCUGCCCUGGGUCUGCAGAAGGCUGAGGACUUUUGGUUAAAAGCAAUCCUCAUGAAAACACCCCACCCUGCUUGGCAGCCAGGGUACAAGUCCUGGGUACCUCCUCUUUGCCUCCCUCCUGCCCCCUUCCUGCUGGUGGGGGCAGAUCCUGCACACACAGACACAGCGUUUGCCCCCGAGCCAUUCCCUGG
rnacentral:sRNA from 1 species